UACGGGGGGGGCGAGCGUUGUUCGGAAUUACUGGGCGUAAAGAGCUCGUAGGCGGUCUGUCGCGUCGAAUGUGAAAACCCGGGGCUCAACUCCGGGCUUGCAUUCGAUACGGGCAGGCUAGAGUUCGGUAGGGGAGUCUGGAAUUCCUGGUGUAGCGGUGAAAUGCGCAGAUAUCAGGAGGAACACCGGUGGCGAAGGCGGGACUCUGGGCCGAUACUGACGCUGAGGAGCGAAAGCGUGGGGAGCGAACAGG
rnacentral:rRNA from 1 species